CCCUUAGAUGUUCUGGGCCGCACGCGCGCUACACUGAUGCAUUCAACGAGUUUUUCCUGGUCCGAGAGGAAUGGGUAACCUUUUGAAAGUGCAUCGUGCUAGGGAUAGACUAUUGCAAUUAUUGGUCUUCAACGAGGAAUUCCUAGUAGACGUAGUUCAUCAGACUGCAUCGAUUACGUCCCUGCCCUUUGUACACACCGCCCGUCGCUCCUACCGAUUGGGUGCUCCGGUGAAUUGUUUGGACUGCGUAUUACGUAUCAGUGGUGUGCGGGAAGCUCUGUGAACCUUAGCACCUAGAGGAAGGAGAAGUCGUAACA
rnacentral:rRNA from 1 species